UGCAUUCCUGGAGCUGCUAUUCCGUGAAUACUUCAUUGGAUUAACUCAGCAGAUUCAAACCCAUGCCAGUCAAUAUCAUUUCGAAUAUCCCUUUGAAAUACAAGCAAAUGCCGGCUGUGAGUUACACUCUCCAGAGAGCCCAGAAGGCUUCUUCCAGGCCGCUUUCGAAGGAUCAGAUUUCCUGAGCUUCCAAAACACAUCAUGGGUGCCAGCUCCGGAGGGUGGGAGUAGAGCCCAGAAAAUCUGUGAUCUCCUUAAUCGCUAUGAAGGCAUCAAGGAAAUAGUGUACAAUCUCACCAGAAACACCUGCCCUUGAUUGCUCUUGGGUCUCCUAGAUGCGGGAAAGAGGGAGCUC
rnacentral:lncRNA from 1 species